rnacentral:rRNA from 1 species
CCCCUAGACGUUCUGGGCUGCACGCGCGCUACAAUAAUACGCACAGCGAGUAUCACCGAGCUCGAAAGGGCAAGGUAAACAAUAGAAAAGGUACUGUAAUGGUUAUAGAUCCUUGUAAUUAUUGAUCUUCAACGAGGAAUUCCUAGUAAGUAUGUGUCAUCAUCACGCACUGAUUACGUCCCUGCCCUUUGUACACACCGCCCUUCGCUCCUACCGAUUGGGUGAGCCGAUGAAACUCUCGGAUGUAGGCUAUUCAUAGCCCGCAGAAGAGAUUUGAAUCGUAGCGCUUAGAGGAAGGAGAAGUCGUAACA